AUGCUGGAAACAAAACACCAUAGAACUUUGUUAAUAAGAGCAACUUAAGAGAAAGCAGAGUAUCUAAUUGAUCUCUACCACAGCUGGGAUGAAACAUGAAACAAAUACAGCUAAAAAACUCAUAAUUCAAGAAUUUUAACAUCCGCCCGUCCAGUUGUUCUGAAUCUAUAGCUAAAGGUCUUCCCAUAUCUAAAGGUCAACAUAAAGGUGCAGGUCAUCAUUAUCAGUGAAGUUGUUAGCUUAGUUUCAGUAAAUGGUAGCACAUAAUUCUAGGAAUCAUUAUCAGUUUUUAAACAGUUCAGAAAAUUACUUCAACAACUAUUUAGUCUUCAUUCUUUCCAAAGGAAAUACAUCACAGAUUUGUUCUUAAGUUGUCACAAAAAAUAAUAUUUAUAUUAGGUAUGAUUUAAGAGAGGUCAUAUGCUUUAUCUAAACUAAUAAACAGCAGGGAAGUAAAGUGCUUUAACUCCCACAGUCAUAAAGUCACCCAACUUUGUCAGUUAUUGACAGAUUAUGGUGUGAAGGAAGCAGGAAGGAGAGGAGAAAGGGAGGGUAGAAGGGAAAUUCCUAGUUGCUCAAAGCUACUGCCAACUCUGAUCACUGCUCUGCCCACAUGGAUGUGUUAAGCUCCAUUCUGCAAAUGCUGCUAACUGUAGUUGGUUCAGCGGUUAUCACAGCAGUAAAGGGAAUGAGGAAACAUGACUGAGAAAGUCACAUGAAUCCUCCUGUGUCACUCCCACAGCUCUGGCUGUUAAGCUUCUCUGGAAAUGUAUUUUCACCUUUUGCAAGAUAAAACUCCAAAGAGGUGGCCUUCUACAGUGAAUGGCCAUAGACAGAAAGAAUCCACAUACAAUCAGCCUGCAGGUAUUUUAAGGGCCUAGGAUCAGACCCAGUGCCUGAUGUGGUGGUUGUCAGCCCUGCCCACAGCAGAGGGUGUUGGAACCAACUCUCAAAUCUCAGUAAAAGUAACUUAGGAACAUUCCUGUUGAACUGAUAGACUGCUUUUGAGGAGAGGGAGGCAUCAUUCAGUAAGAAAAUAGGCAAAAAAAAAAAUUAUGUAGCUGAAUUGAUUUAAGUUAUAAAAGCAUUCGAUGAGUUCUGUGUUUUGGAAUGGAAGUUUUUCCAAAUCCACUCCUAUUUGUAACUACCGCUUCUCCAAGUACUUCAGAAUGCUUUUAAUGCCAACAAUAAUGAUGAGAGCUCUAGCACAGACAGACAGGAAUUUGCUGGCAUUUUAGCUGCCAUGCUGACUACUUGUAAUAGCUGGGGAAUUUGGGGGAGGAAAAGUCUUUUGCAGACUAAGCUGUAAGAAUGGUAUUAUGAUGCGAGUUAUUCUUCCAGAGCAAAUAGCAAGGCUACACUUCUGAUUCUGAGGGGAAAAUAAUGUUCUACUCACAGAUCUACCCUGUAACAGAUAAACAGCAGUUCCAGAACUGGAAACUAACUCAGGCUAACUACUCCCCUGUCCAUGGAGACGUGCAAGCCAUCUGAUAUCAGCAUCGCAUACCUUGUAGCUGCAUGUAAUGAUUUUUGCCAAAGGCAACAUACCGAAUCGAGCUUCACCCACCCAGAGGAGACACCGAGUCCGAGCACUGCAUCAGCCAUCCAGCAAAGGAAUCGAAGACGUGAGAGAUGGAAGAAACAAUUGGUCAUCUAAUCUCUCUUUCUAUUUUUGCUGGUCUUGUUGUCAGGGAGAUAUUGUAUUGAAAGGAGUGGCCUACAUACUCACUACACUUACAAGCUGCCUCGUUGUAAAAACAACAUUUAAAAAUAAAGUUUAAAAAUACUUGCA